UGAGGCACCCUGAAACUACAACAGCACAACCAAUUUAAUUUAUAAUCAUCAAUCAUAUUACGGAUAUAAAUAGAUUAUUAAUGGCAUUGGUUGUAUUUUCCUAUUUUAGAAUUUUAUACACCACACGUUAGUGUUUAGUUAUCGGUGAUACUAAUCAGUUUAUUGAGUGUAUUCUACUUAAUACUAUUUUUGUUAUUUUGUUAUUGCUAGUAAAUAGUAAUAUAUUAUUUUUAUAAAAAUGAAUCCAAGUAAAAAGAGGAAAAGGACAAAACUCGAAUGCUUAACUUUUGGUAGCACAUUCGACCACGAUUAUAAAAGAAAACGUGAAAUAAAUGUACACGGUGGUAACAGAAUAAACGUGAAACAUUUUGGCGCUCCCGACAAUCCGUUUGUAGUAGCAUCUGCAGUGUUUAAAAAAAGUGUACAGUCCGAGGUACAGCCACCACCAAAUAUUGAGGAGGUCAAAGGCAAUUUUUCUAACCUAUCUUUAAAAUUAGAAACUAUACCUAUACAACUGAUAUCUUCACAUGUAUCAAAUACUAUAAGUGAAUUACAUUUUUUAAACUAUGAAUUUUUACAAAAAUUAAUAUUAUAUUAUUUAAAAAAAAUAUUAAAUAUUGAUGGAUAAUCAAGACAUUGAACUAAUUGAACUAGGAAAAUGCAUGGAAUCUAGUAUCGAAUAACCAGAAAAAGGUCCUAUAAUAUUAUAUAAUUUAUAUAAUAUAUAAUAGUAAAAAUUUUCGCGUGCCAUGGAUUUGCCAACCCUGUUAUAGAUGAACUAGAUUAUAUUUAAAAGUAUGAAGAAAAUGGUAAAAUAAUUGAAUCUGAAGUCUGCCAACAAGAAUAUAUUUCCAGAACAUGACCUUGGAAAGAGAGAAAUAGUAAAAUCAUCAGCUCAGAGAAAAUAUUUCUUGAGUUUUGGGCUCUAUCAACCUAAAUUAGCUAAAUAUCCAAAAAACUUAGAUAUUUCUACAGAAAAACAAAGCCAAUUUAUCUCAUUAUGGUUCAAUGAAUUUCCUCACUUAGUAUAAGUAAUAAAUAUAUAAAUAGUAUAUAUUAGUAUAUAUAGUAUGUCGCAUUUUGUUUUAUUUGUUCUCUAUUUCCGAAUGGCCGUAACAGAAGUUUUGCCAAUCCAGCAUGGGUUGUAGUUAGUGUUCGAAGUCAGUGGCGUAGCAAGGAUUUUUAAAUGGGGGGGGGGGCUAACCACUUUUUUUGAAUAAGUAA